rnacentral:rRNA from 1 species
GACGGAGGGUGCAAGCGUUGUUCGGAAUUACUGGGCGUAAAGGGCGCGUAGGCGGUCUGUUAAGUUCGGUGUGAAAGCCCCCGGCUCACCUGGGGAACUGCGCCGGAAACCGACAGACUCGAGUACCGGAGAGGAGGGUGGAAUUCCUGGUGUAGCGGUGAAAUGCGUAGAUAUCAGGAAGAACACCCGUGGCUAAGGCGGCUCUCUAGUACGGUACUGACGCUGAGACGCGAAAGCGUGGGGAGCGAACAGG